CCCCUCUCAGGAUGGCACCUGGAGAGUUUCCAGUACUCUACCAGUCUCGGAUAUGGGAGGGAGAGUCAAGCAGGGGCCUGUCCAUUCCUUUCUUAGCUUGGGCAGUGGCUGGAGAGUGGCAGGCAAUCUGCUACAGGU
rnacentral:snoRNA from 2 species